GCGAGAUGCCAGGGCCUCGAAAUAGAACAAAACCGGCCGGGGGGGAGGGGGAAGGUGAGGGUCUCGGAGGACAGAGGGGGAUAGAGAGCUCUCUGCAGACGCCGAAGACCCAAGCAAGCCUGCCGCCUACCUCUCCCCGCCCCACAACUGCUAGGCGCGGAGACCGCGGCCUGUUACCCGCGCCUCCCGGGAAGCUGAGGAAGGUCCCGGGAAGGCUUCCCCGCCGGCUCCUGCUAAGAGGUCCGCAGACCCUAGCCCGGUGUCCCCCUCCCUCUCAUAACGUUCCCCGCACACCGGCACAAACCUCUGGCUCAGGAACCGCAGCAGCUUCGCUGUCCACGGCAGACGCAGAAACGCCGUUCACAAGCCUUUUCCCAGAAGCCCCCGGCACGGGCUGCUUCCGUUCCGCGGGCCUGAGGAGGCGGGGAGAGAGAUGAGGUCUUCCUGUGUUUCCCAGACUGCUCUCCAACUCCUGGGCACAAGUGACCCUCCUGCCUUGGCCUCCUAAAUUGCUAGGAUUGCAGGCGUGAGCCACUGUACCUGGCCUCCAUUCUAUUCCUAAUUCCUUCUAAAAUACUACAUGGAAACCACAGUGAGGUUUUCCUCACUAAGUUACUCUUUUGAAGGCAGACGCUAAUAACACCUGCUUUGAAACACCAUCCUUCUGAGGUCCUCUGGGAUUUUUCCUGAAUGGUGGCCCUUGUUGCCAUCUUAAAGAUCUAGUCAAGAUAAAACAUCAUGUUCCUCUGGACAACCUGAAUGGAGGGAGCAGCUUCAUACCAGGGCCUGACAAUCUUGCACAUAUCCACAUAGACCACAUAGGCAAUGCCUGAACCACAGCUGAUCUGAGUCUUGGUAGAACACCUUGGUGUCCUCCCAGAAGAUGAGCGCAAUGAGAGACUUGUAAGCAGCUACUGCAAGGCCAUUUCCCACUCAGCUCUCUGUCUUCCAAAGAGACUGUCAUGAGGCAGUUUCUCAUUGCUUCCCGGGUUCCAGUGAGCCAUUCUGCCUUAGCCACUUAGAGUACAGCCACAGGUUAUAACAAGGCUUAGCUGCAGCAUGGCAUUGACCCCUCAGCAACAAGGUGUCCACAACAUAUGCUGUAGUCAUCGAGCCCCUUCUGUUUUGGAGUCAUUAUUUUGGUAUCUGAGACAAAAGCUCGUGGAGAGCUGGCACUUGCUUUUGCUUUCAAUGUCUGUGUAAAUAAUAAUAUGUCUAAAUUCAAAAAGGGCUCAUUUCUUUACCAGCCAAAUCUUUCAAACUUGUCUUGAUACCAAACAUCUGAUUCAUUAAUUAAUGGUAAAACAAACAAAACUACCAGACAGAUACCACCUGAGUACCAGAAAUAUAGAGAUUAAUAAAAUGAAGUCAUGAUUCCUUCUUUGUUUUUCCCUUUAAAAGAGAUGGGGUCUCACUCUGUUGCCCAGGCUGGAGUGCAGUGGCGUAAUCACAGCUUGCUGCAGCCUCGAACUCCUGGUAGGGAUCCUCCCGCUUCAGCCUCCUAAAACGCUGGGAUUACAGGUGUGAGCCACCAUGUCCAGCUUGAUUCCUUCUUUUAACAUUACCAUCUCUUAUUACGGAAAUAAACAGCAACAACAGGAAAAAAAAAAGUAUUCACAAGGCAGUGUAGAGUGCUACUAGAGAAGAGCAGAAUGCCUGUAAGGGCUCCUAAAUGAGAAGGUGUGCUGAGAGGGAAGGGAGGCACCCUGAAAUGGAGGAAGCCAGCAAGAGUUUUCAGGCUGGGCAUGGUGGCCUGCACCUUUGGUCCCAGCUACUCAGGAGACUGAGUUGGGAGGAUUGCUUGAACCUGAGGGGUUGAGGAUGCAGUGAACUGUGAUCGCAUCACUGUACUUAAGCCUUGUGGACAGAGCAAGAUCCUGAUCAAAAAGAGAAAAAAAAAGAAGUGUUCACAUUGGAAGGAAAGCAUAGACCUUCAGAUUUGGUGUUAUCAGAUUCCAUCCAAGACUGAUUUUUUUCCAGGCUUUGGAGCUCUCAAUCCCAAUUCAGCUCAAAAUUAUCUCCCUCUGGGCGCUUUCAGUACAUUGCUUAAAUAUUCCAUUUUAGCUAGUAAGUAUACAGUAUGAGGAGUCUUUUGAUUGCAAGUGACUGAAAACCUAACAGGCAAGCAUUGUUAGCUUCCUACACAAAGUGCUUCCCCUUACUUCUAAUAUACUCCUGAUUUUUUGGAUGGAGAGCUGGGAGUGUGCCCAGCUGUAAGAAUAAAUUGUAAUUGAGCUAAGCUA